AAAAAGCCAGUUCAUGCUUUUACAGUAUGAAAAUUGGUGAUUUAUAAUAACUUAGCAAAUCGCAAAGUGAAAACAGGCGAUAAAUCAUUCAAGUUUCUGACCUAUCAGCUUUCGACGGUAUGGUAUUGGCUUACCGUGGCAGUGACGGUUAACGGGGGAUUAGGGUUCGAUUCCGGAGAGGGAGCCUGAGAAACGGCUACCACAUCUAAGGAAGGCAGCAGGCGCGCAAAUUACCCAAUUCUAACAGUUUGAGAGAGGUAGUAACAAGAAAUAACAAUACAAGGCAGUUAAAAUGCUUUGUAAUUGGAAUGAUAGAAAUUUAAACCCUUUUUAAAGUAUCAAUUGGAGGGCAAGUCUGGUGCCAGCAGCCGCGGUAAUUCCAGCUCCAAUAGCGUAUAUUAAAAUUGUUGCAGUUAAAAAGCUCGUAGUUGAAGUUCUGCUGAAAGUAACCGGUCUGCUUUUAAUAAAAGUGGUAUCUUGGUAUGUAUUUAGCAAUGAUGUCCUUUGAAGUGUUUUUUACUUUAUUGUAAUAAAGCAUAUUCAGGACUUUUACUUUGAGAAAAUUAGAGUGUUUCUAGCAGGCUAACGCUUUGAAUACUGCAGCAUGGAAAUAAUAAGAA
rnacentral:rRNA from 1 species